GCUCUUUUAGUUUAACAAAAAUUCUGAUUUGUGGUAUCAGAGAUCUUUUGAGGUAGAGCC
rnacentral:tRNA from 1 species